CAAUAGAGAAACCGGAGUACCCGGAGAAACCCCACACAGGCACGGGGAGAAAAUGCAAACUCCACACUGGCGGCAGAUGUGCUAACCAGUUUCCACCGUGCCGCCACAAGUUCAACAAUUUCAAGUAUUUAUUUGUUUAUUUUAGUGGAAGGGGGAGUCACAGCUUCAAAAACCACCACAUUCAGACGCAUCCGGGAGGUGGGCUACAACUGUCGGGUUCCUCGGAUCAAGCCGCUUCUGAGACUGAGCCAACGUAGGAAGCGUCUCAACUGGGCCAAGGAGAAGAAGGACUGGGCUGUUGGCCAGUGGCCCGAGGUCCUCUUUUCCAAUGAAAGUAAAGUGUGCCUUUUAUUCAGGAAUCAAGGUCCAAGGAUUUGGAGGAAGACGGGUGAAGAACAGAACCCAAGCUACUUGAGGUCACCGCAACAGUCUACCAGAAUGUUUGAGAGGACUUCAUGAUUCCUUCUACUGAGGAUCUAUAUGGAGAUGCAGAUUUCAUCUUCCAACAGGACCUGGCCCCUGCCCCUAGCACCAGAAGCACCAAAACCUGGUUCGAUGCCCAUGGCAUCACAGUGCUUGACUGGCCAGCCAACUCGCCGGAUAUAAACCUCAUUGAGAGUCUAAGGGGUAUUAUCAAGAGGAAAAUGAGGGGCACCAGAACCCAAAAUAAAGAAGAACUGACAGCAUCAAGGAAAUCUGGGCUUCCAUAACUCCCAGGCAAAGCCACAAGCUGAUUGCCUCAAUGCCACGGCGCAUCGAGGCAGUGAUUAAAGCAAACGGAUUCCCAACCAAGUAUUGAAGAUUAACGUAUCGUUUUGAAAGUACCCUAUUUUGAUUGAUUUAAUGUGACCCUAAUUUCUUUCUCUUUUUUUUUCCUCUACAAAAACUGAGAGGUGAAUGGUGAUCUCGCUUGUAGUGUCAGUAGUCCUGUCUUGUUUCUAGUUUUAGGUUUAUUCAAGUGUUCCUUUGUUACUUUGAUUAUCAGUUUGGGGACUUUGUUUACUUUCCUUUUUCCAUGAUACUUGUUUGCCUUUUAUUGGGAAUUAAAUAUCAUUUUUGAGA